GGUCAUAUAUUUCUUCUUCGUUAAAUAUAUAUAUAUAAAGAAUGAUUCUCUCUUUUCUUUCUGUUUUAAUAUGAGAAACAAUAUUUUUCUUUCCGUUAUUUCAUUUUUAUUUUCGUUUCAUUAUUUUUGGGAUAUAUAAUUUUUCCUUAUUUUCUGAAUUCUCUUUAUUUUAAGUUCUAAGUGGAGCAAAAAAAUUUUAUAAAUUAUAAUAAAAGAAACAUUAGAAAAUGACGAGAAAUCGAAGAAGACAAGAAGAUGGAGAUGUAAUUUCAGACAAGUGUUGACUUUUAUCGUUAAAUUGUAAAACGAUGAGUCUAAAAUGAAAUCAAUUAAAAUCGUGUCACAACGUUCGCAUUGUCAGAACAUUUGGAAAAUUUAAACUUCAAUAACUGCAAACUAUACGUGUAAUAUAACAGCAAAUAGAGUGAAAAUACCAACAAUGUUGAAAAUUUACUUGUCGUUAUUUAUUGUAACAUUUUUAUUAUUUACUAAUGAGUGUGAUGCUGAAUGUUGUCCUCCAAUUGCUACCAUUCAUAUAAAUUGUACGAAUGUGCCAGGAAAGUGCUUAGCUAAAAUUUGUGAGGAUGGUACUGAAAUUUGGAAUGGAGUUUAUUGUGGUUAUGGACCUUGUAAUAUUUUUGGAUGUAACUGUGAGGGUGGCUGUAGACGUAAAAAAAAUUGACAAAAUUAUUUUUAUCGAAAUUAUUCACUAUGUAUGAAUAAUUAUUGUUAUUUUACAAAUUUUAUUUGCAAAUAAAGAGAAUUGAUA